AUGUUGACUUUUAGCGUUCCGGAGAUCUCUGAUUCACAAGUAUCGCAAUAUAUAAAAAAAUAAAAAAAAUAAAUAUAUAACAGAAUUUAAAAAGCAUCAAGUUAGUUAUUAUUCAUUUCUGCUAUUAUCGAUAUACAUUAAUAUAAUUAUAGACGCCACAUGUUGCAAACUUACUUGCACUAAGUAUUAUUAACAAUGAGUGCGUACGUUAUCCAUUAAAUCAACCUACUAGCAAGCAACUAAUCACGAUUUUAACAAGGAAUGUAUAAUAAACGCAAUUAGAAAAUAAAGCAAUGUGCAAUUUUUUAAAUUAUUUUGAUUCUAAAUAAAGAUAAUGCGACUUAUGUAAUGAAAGUGUUAAUAUCAAUUUUAUAUGUUUCAUCGAAAGGUUAAGAGGUGCGUUUAUUAUUUGAGAUUCAGUAUAUUGAAAAAUCAGUAUAAUUUUACUUAGCCUGCGGAGUAAAAAAGUUAAGUUAAAUAAACCGGAUAAUGUGAAUUUUAUUUAAUCUUUCAGAAAUAUGUGUGAUACAUCAAAAAAAAUGAAAAAUACAAGUGUCAAAAACAAUGUACAAAAUGAAAUGAUGGAAAAACAAAGUGUUGAUAAAAAAGAAUCUACAUUAAAGACUACAAAUGAAGAUGUACAGCGUGCUAUUGAAGGUUUAAAAGAGAUUCCAGAUGAAGAACUUCAAGAAUUUCUUGACGAUGAAGAUUUCAUGGAAGGUUGGGAUGUCGUUGAUGCCUGGGAAGGUGAUGAAGAAAAGAAAGAGGUUGAGCUCAAAAGUUCUCACAUAAAGGAACAAGAACAAAAAGGUUCUUGUAGGUAGCAUCAAUAACAUAGAAUAAUAUCCCAACUGUUAUUAUUUAUUGCAGAAUUUGGUUGUGCAUAACUUUCAAUAAUAUAUUAUCUUGACACAUUAUUGUAUUCAAUAUAUUUAAAAAUAUUUAUGUAGUUACCCUUAAAUAAGUAGUAAUAUGUAGGAAAGAAUGAUUGUAACCUACUUAUAAGGACAGACAUUGUCGUGACUAUAAAGGAUCUUAUAAUCUUGAAAAACGGAAGAGAGAAGAGAAAAAACAUGAAGGAAUACACCGUGAUCCUUCCAAAAGCACGAAGGACAUAGAAGUGACGUAUAAAAAGCGACAAUGAAAGUAAACUUUCAGCUGAAAAGGAAAAAGCUAUUAAGCAUUUAUUGGAUUCUGAUACUGUUGUCUCAUCUGGUACAGAAGUUGAAACUAUUUGGAGCAUGACAGAGAAACAAAGUUUGUAACAAACCCAAAUACAUAUUCACAGACGUGAUGAACGAUGCAGGAGCCUAGAAUAUCAAAGGGGAAAUUCGUUAAGACAAAAAACUCCAGAUAGUAUUAAGUUGAACUCUUCGAUGCAGAAGUCCUUUCAAGAUGAAUAUUGAAAGAUGUCAAAGACCAAUGAGGUUCAGUCCUGUAUCAGAAUGACGAAGGAGCCUAAUUAGAAGUGCCAGCUGGGAACAAAGAUUAAGUGACAUAACAACAUAGAAGAUGUGCAAAUGUACAUGAAUGGCGAAGUGGUGGAUCACGAGAUCAACAACAAAGUCGCAGUAUGGAUUGCACUAUAAAAAAGGAUACGAGAUGUGAAUUCCGCGGGCGGCGAUCCACCGUGGCAGCUUCCAUCGCCUCAGCGCUAAUGGACGAUACAUCUUGAAUUUCGACAAGGAAGGUCGCCGUGUGCAGCUGCGCUUAGUGCCACGGGCUCAAGUUCAACAACCUAAUGCAGCUAAGGGAGAAGGACGAGAGGAGCUGACGUAAGGAUUCGUCGACCGGCAGCCCCCACUUUACGUAUGUAGGGUAUAACCCAAUGAAGGGUAAGUGACGUUCUAUUAUUGCUAUGUAACCUUAUUUCUUUUCCGGUUGUAACCGUCCAAGCAACGGUCCGGUAAGUGACACUUCAAAUUGUACGGCUUCCACUUUGUUUUGUUUCGCCUCCUGUGCCUUCCUGCACUCGGAAAUGCAGAUUUCGUCUCCGAAGUGUACUCGCCUGUCGGUAUUUUUUUGUUUCUUUCACUUUCUCCUCCUUUUAAUUUUGUGCUGCUUCCUUUGUACGGUUUGCGAAAAGAAAACGUAAUUCUGUUUGCAUCAAAGAUCCUUAUUUAGUUCUCCCAAGAUUUAAGGUCGUUCUAACCUUUCGAAUUAUGCUGUGUUGAUUCAAUUUUUUACGAACAAACGUUACGGUUUUCUCAUUUUUUCUCGUUGCUCCGCGUGUAAUUGCUGGAAUUAACCAUGAGGUCUCGACCUGCAUGAGCGCUCAAUCAACAAACAGCAGUGUAGAGUUGCUACCUGCAGCUGCAUGGGGCUAUACAAUGACAGCACAUGACGACGGGUUCAGACGUGCUCAAACAUGCUCGUAGAGAUAGUCAGCUGUCCAGGUUCCACGAUGCUUCCCAGGCAUUUCGAAAUACCAGAAUUGGUAUCUGCAUUCUUUUGCAGCACCUGUGAUUACAAGUAGUCAGUGCUUGCAGCAGGUCAUUACUAUUGUAGUAGGAUCUUUCCUCUUUGUUUCCUCUUUGAUUACAUGGGUAACGCGAAUCGGUAAACAUCCUUCUUCUGACUUGUUUUUGAACGAAUCAUCAAGUACGAAUUUCUAGUUCCGUACUCUAUAGUCGGAAGAUUCUUCGCUCCUCCUCUUUGACUUACGCCUAUUGUUCCUCCUGGCAAGAUCACGGCUCUGCAUGAAAAUUAACAUCUCCACAAAUUCGUGUAUACGAAUCACAUCGCUUCUUCACAUCGCUCUUUCAUAAAUAUUGUCGGCUUUAUGUAAUGUUUAGCAUAUGUACAAAUUUGCGUGUGUGAGUUUGCAUUCGCGCCCACCCUUUCUUCUCUAUGUUGUACUCAGCCAGGGUAUACAUUUUCUACGCUUUUAGUUUGUUUGUGCCUCUCCCACUACCUACUUUAUGCUACUGCAUGUCAUGCCAUCGCAUACUUAUUCAUCUUUUGUUUCCUUAAUAAAGCAUGGAGUCAACUACCAGAAGUUCACACCUAAUGACCAAAGGAACCAUCACACGAGAUGACCACAGAAAGUCAGCUGUUACGGUGAUCCAGGAUUGCCUGACCAGUCGGGAGACAGUCGAACAAUCAUACAACAUUAACAUCACUUAGUUGAUUGCGCAUUUUACCCGCGCAAGGUUGGGAGCUUGUUAGGAUCGACAGCUAAUUUCUAAGAGGGUGUGUGAGUGUGGGCCUGAUUCAGUUUUCGUAUUGAGUGCUCGUGCUUUCUCACUCGGAGAGAACGCCGUGGUUCAGCUCCACUCAGGUGUAUGUAAGCCCCUACAAGGCCGAGGAAUUGGGUCAUUAUAGUUAGUAGAAGGGAAACACGCGUGUGCAUUUUAUUUGAGUGCGUUCGUCAUUUCAUUUGAGUCGCGAUUACGUCUUGAAAUGCCUGUCUAUUUGUCAUAGUCACGUAUCGAUCGCAAGCGAUUCGUUUGCCGCUGGUAGCUCGUAGAUUUCACUCCGUUUGAACUCACGACUGACUUCACAGACAUAUAGUUCCUCUGCCUCGUCACCAUUGAGCCUGUGUGCUCUUCGUGAUCGUUCUCACGUUUUCGCCAUACCAGUGAUUCUAAUAUUGUAAUUCUCAUAACCAGAAGCUCUUCGAUCUGGUUAUCCACAGAUCACCCCGUGCUUCUUUGUAUUGCGCCACGUUCGCUACAACGCGAUACGUGUUCCAUUCGUUCAAAUUCUAAUAUUGCGUAUGCGCGUUUUAUAUAACUUUCAUUUAAUUGUGCAAUAAACAAAUACUUAUUGAGUCGU